GCUCAGGACGAACGCUGGCGGCGUGCUUAACACAUGCAAGUCGAACGAUGAAGGAGGAGCUUGCUCCUCCGGAUUAGUGGCGAACGGGUGAGUAACACGUGAGCAAUCUGCCCUUGACUCUGGGAUAAGCGCUGGAAACGGCGUCUAAUACCGGAUACGACCCUCGGAGGCAUCUCCUGGGGGUGGAAAGAACUUCGGUCAAGGAUGAGCUCGCGGCCUAUCAGCUUGUUGGUGAGGUAAUGGCUCACCAAGGCGACGACGGGUAGCCGGCCUGAGAGGGUGACCGGCCACACUGGGACUGAGACACGGCCCAGACUCCUACGGGAGGCAGCAGUGGGGAAUAUUGCACAAUGGGCGCAAGCCUGAUGCAGCAACGCCGCGUGAGGGACGACGGCCUUCGGGUUGUAAACCUCUUUUAGCAGGGAAGAAGCGAGAGUGACGGUACCUGCAGAAAAAGCACCGGCUAACUACGUGCCAGCAGCCGCGGUAAUACGUAGGGUGCAAGCGUUGUCCGGAAUUAUUGGGCGUAAAGAGCUCGUAGGCGGUCUGUCGCGUCUGCUGUGAAAACCCGAGGCUCAACCUCGGGCUUGCAGUGGGUACGGGCAGACUAGAGUGCGGUAGGGGAGAUUGGAAUUCCUGGUGUAGCGGUGGAAUGCGCAGAUAUCAGGAGGAACACCGAUGGCGAAGGCAGAUCUCUGGGCCGUAACUGACGCUGAGGAGCGAAAGCGUGGGGAGCAAACAGGCUUAGAUACCCUGGUAGUCCACGCCGUAAACGUUGGGAACUAGAUGUGGGGACCAUUCCACGGUCUCCGUGUCGUAGCUAACGCAUUAAG
rnacentral:rRNA from 1 species